rnacentral:lncRNA from 1 species
CACUAGUUUAUCGAUACUUAUAUUGGAGUAAACACUACUUUACCGAUAUCAAGAUAGAGGCACCAGUACUUAAAUUAUUUCUGAAUUGAAGGCAUUGGUAGUUUUACCGAUAUUCAAAUCUUGUAAAUCAAUUUAGAAUACUAGUAUACAAAUCAAGAUGAAAAACAAAACCUGAGAAAAUCCAACGGAACAAGAGCUCACGUUUAUAUCGACGUGAUAAGCUAUUGUAAAAAAAGUAUCCCAUAUUUAAAAAGAAAUAUGCACUUUAUUAUACAUGAAAGCAGCAAAAACAGCAUACAUUGAUAAAUGUUCACUAUCAUGACUUUAAUUUUAAAUAAAGGGAGAAGAUAUCAAGGGGGAUGAAAAAUAGUAAGUAAAAAAAAGGCAAAAAGAAAGAAAAAGCAAACAUACGAACAGCAGUCACAAAUCAAUACACAAAAACAUUAAGAUUGAGCAACGCAAACUCCUUUAAACAAUGGGUUUACUCGGGUUCUUGAGGACAC